AGGAUGAACGCUGGCGGCGUGCUUAACACAUGCAAGUCGAACGAUGAAGCCGGAGCUUGCUCUGGUGGAUUAGUGGCGAACGGGUGAGUAACACGUGAGUAACCUACCCUUGACUCUGGGAUAAGCCCGGGAAACUGGGUCUAAUACCGGAUAUGAGUCAUCACCGCAUGGUGGUGGUUUGAAAGAUUUAUCGGUCUUGGAUGGACUCGCGGCCUAUCAGCUUGUUGGUGAGGUAAUGGCUCACCAAGGCGACGACGGGUAGCCGGCCUGAGAGGGUGACCGGCCACACUGGGACUGAGACACGGCCCAAUCUCCUACGGGAGGCAGCAGUGGGGAAUAUUGCACAAUGGGCGGAAGCCUGAUGCAGCGACGCCGCGUGAGGGAUGACGGCCUUCGGGUUGUAAACCUCUUUCAGUAGGGAAGAAGCGAAAGUGACGGUACCUGCAGAAGAAGCACCGGCUAACUACGUGCCAGCAGCCGCGGUAAUACGUAGGGUGCGAGCGUUAUCCGGAAUUAUUGGCCGUAAAGAGCUCGUAGGCGGUUUGUCGCGUCUGUCGUGAAAGUCCGGGGCUUAACCCCGGAUCUGCGGUGGGUACGGGCAGACUAGAGUGCAGUAGGGGAGACUGGAAUUCCUGGUGUAGCGGUGGAUUGCGCAGAUAUCAGGAGGAACACCGAUGGCGAAGGCAGGUCUCUGGGCUGUAACUGACGCUGAGGAGCGAAAGCAUGGGGAGCGAACAGGAUUAGAUACCCUGGUAGUCCAUGCCGUAAACGUUGGGCACUAGGUGUGGGGAACAUUCCACGUUUUCCGCGCCGUAGCUAACGCAUUAAGUGCCCCGCCUGGGGAGUACGGCCGCAAGGCUAAAACUCAAAGGAAUUGACGGGGGCCCGCACAAGCGGCGGAGCAUGCGGAUUAAUUCGAUGCAACGCGAAGAACCUUACCAAGGCUUGACAUGUUCUCGUUCGCCGUAGAGAUACGGUUUCCCCUUUGGGGCGGGUUCACAGGUGGUGCAUGGUUGUCGUCAGCUCGUGUCGUGAGAUGUUGGGUUAAGUCCCGCAACGAGCGCAACCCUCGUUCCAUGUUGCCAGCACUUCGGGUGGGGACUCAUGGGAGACUGCCGGGGUCAACUCGGAGGAAGGUGGG
rnacentral:rRNA from 1 species